rnacentral:tRNA from 1 species
GGCUUGUGGCUCAGUGGUGGAAUUCUUGCCUAGCAUGCACGAGGCACUGGGUUGGAUCCUCAGCACCA